rnacentral:tRNA from 1 species
GAUGUAACUUAAAGGUAAAGUAGUGGACUCAUAACCCAUAAACGGGGGUUCAAAUCCCCCCAUC